rnacentral:rRNA from 1 species
AGAUGGCGACCGGCGCACGGGUGAGUAACACGUAUCCAACCUGCCGAUAACUCGGGGAUAGCCUUUCGAAAGAAAGAUUAAUACCCGAUGGCAUAAUAGAACCGCAUGGUUUGAUUAUUAAAGAAUUUCGGUUAUCGAUGGGGAUGCGUUCCAUUAGGCAGUUGGUGGGGUAACGGCCCACCAAACCUUCGAUGGAUAGGGGUUCUGAGAGGAAGGUCCCCCACAUUGGGACUGAGAUACGGCCCAGACUCCUACGGGAGGCAGCAUG